GAAAGAAAUAAGAAAUGGCAUCAGCAUCAGGUGGAGAUGUACCAGCGGGUCGAGAAAAAGAUAGUAAAUAUCGUGCAUACGCAAAAGCCAUCGAUCAGGCGUUGAAAACAUUCGAAACACCCAAUGAAUGGGCUGAUCUCAUUUCGGCACUCGGAAAAUUGGCUAAAGUGGGUUUUGUUAGUUGGAAGAAAUUUCUAGAAAUUCAAAAAAUUUAUUAACAUUUUAGUGAAAUAUACAUGCUAUUUGCAGCCUAAAAUACUAAAUUUUUACUAUAAUUUUUAUUUAAAAAUUCAAUAUUUGCACAACUUCUAACAUUUUAGUUCCAUUUUUAUUGUUUUAAAUAUCAAAUAUUAUGGAAAUAUUCUGAUUAAAAAUACUAACAUUUAAAAUUCUAAAUGUAACUGUUACAAUGAAUUAACACUGUUACAAUAUUGAAUAUUGAAUAAACAUCGCAUUUUUCAAUUUAAUACUGUUAUUUCUCGAAUAAAGUUUUUAAAAAUUUAAUAUUUGAUGUUUACAGGAUAAAUUAUCCUAUUUUAUUGAAAUCAAAUAUCAGAUUUUUAAAACUUUAUUCAAGACAUAACAGUAUUAAAAUGAAAAAUUCGAUGUUUAUUCAAGUUUUUAACAAUGUUAAUUUAUUCUAACAGUUAUAUUUAAAAUUUUAAACGUUAGUAUUUUUAAUCAGUAAAUUUUCAUAAUAUUUGAUAUUUAAAACAAUAAAAAUGGAACUAUUGAAUGUUUUCAUAUAAAACAGAAUUAUAAAUUACGCUAUGGAAUUUGUUUUUUUUAAUUUCAUAUUUUAAAAUGCAUGUUCCUAGCAAAGAAAUUAUAGCAAUAAAUUUUUAAAAAAAAAUCUAUUCAGGUAUUCCAAUCAAACGCUAAAUUCUGUGCGAUACCAAAUCGGGUAACCGUCGCGAAACGUCUGUCACAAUGCCUUCAUCCAGCACUCCCUAUGG
rnacentral:sRNA from 1 species